GCCAGGUAUAGUGGCGCAUGUCUGUAAUCCCAGCAGCUCAGGAGGCUGAGGCAAGAGGAUCAUGAGUUCAAAGCCAGCCCUAGCAACUUAGCAAGGCCCCUAAACAACCUAGUGAGACCCUGACUCUA
rnacentral:sRNA from 1 species